rnacentral:misc_RNA from 1 species
GGAUGGAUCAUUAAAACAAUGACCUUUGUCAUAAACCCUUUCGUUGAACUCGUUUUCACUCACCCCCCUUUGAGAUCAGAGAGAGACACUUGCAAAUCGGCUUGUGAGAAAGCUAAACUUUCAUGUUUUUGUGGUGUUCUCGUUAGUCAUCUGUCUUCACAAAGGGUUUUCUCACAUUUUUUUACUAUUUUACAAACCCCUUUUAACCCAUAACUAUUUUUUUUUUAAAAAUGAAAUGGAUUGGAUUCUCUCCAACUUCAUUUCUUUUUAUCUUUAAGUAAUUAUUUACUAAACAAUUCUUAGCAACGGAUAUCUAGGCUCUCGUACCGAUGAAGACCGCAGCGAAAUGCGAUACGUAAUGCGAAUUGCAGAAUUCAGUGAGCGAUCAAAGUGUUGAACGUAACUUACGCCAUUGGGUAUCCCCGAUGGCAUGCUUCUUUGAGUAUCGUUACAUCUCUCCAUUAACGGCGAACUUGUGUAACAACAGGUGAGUCGUGAGUGGGAAAAUGAGUCUCUCGCCUCCUCUUCACCGAUCAGGCGAGUAACUUCUGUACGAUAAACGACAGCGAAUUUUAUACUUUGUCUCAUACAAAGCAAGUCGCGGUGCUUGAUAAUAGACGAUUUUCAGUCUUCUCAUUUUUAGCCCCGCCCAAAUCUCCUUUCAUCGGAGGUUUGUUCGUUUUUAUUCGAAACUUGUGGAGUCAGAGUGCUGUUGUUUUAAAAUCUUUUUAAACGCCACAUUCAUUUGUGGUGUUUAAUUAAUUCUGAUUUUGAUCUCAGAUGAAGUAAGAGAACCCGCCGAAUUUAAGCAUAUUAUUAAGCGGAGGAAAAGAAACUAACAAGGAUUCCCCUAGUAACGGCGAGUGAAGCGGGAAGAGCUCAACGUUAAAAUCGGUCUACCUAGCGGUAGUUCCGAAUUGUAAUCUAGCGACAUUCUCUCAGUCCCGACCCGGGUACAAAUCUUUUGAAACAAGGUCUCAUAGAGGGUGAGAAGCCCGUCUUUGACUUGGAGUUUUCGGGACGUACGAAGAGUGUUCCACGAGUCGAAUAGCUUGGGAAUGCUGUUCUAAACGGGUGGUAAAUUUCAUCUAAAGCUAAAUAUCGACGAGAGACGAUAGCGAACAAGUACCGUGAGGGAAAGAUGAAAAGAACUUUGAAAAGAGAGUUAAAAAGUACUUGAAAUUGUUAAGAAGGAAGCACUGAAAACCAGUCGUGACUCGUUUAUAUAGACGCUACCUGUUCAUGAGAGGGCAAAUCGAGACCUUAAAAGCCUCGACCAAACUUCAAAGUGAGCGUAGCGUUCUCGUAAGUCGGGUGAGUCAAGAUCAGGUAUGCUUGCAGAAGAAAGCUUGUGGAAGGUGCUCUUCUUCGGGAGAGACUAAUCUGACGCGAGUCUGAGCUGCGAGUCAUGCCUGAGGUAAAUCGAUAAUGCGCUCCGCAAGGCUGCUGGUGGUUGUUCCUAGUGAUCUGUAGUUGUGGAGCAUAAAUGCUGUAGCGAUUACAGGUUAUUACUGAGUGAUCACUUGACCGUCGCAUUCGCGAUCUUGACGAAAUGGUUUUCAUUGACCCGUCUUGAAACACGGACCAAGGAGUCUAACAUAUAUGCGAGUAUUUGGGCCUGAAAACCCUGAUGCGCAAUGAAAGUGAAGCUAAACUCUGUUUAGUGAGGUAGGAACCGCAAGGGGCACUAUCGACCGGUCGUUCAUUCAUGAAAGAUUUGAGUAAGAGCAUAUCUGUUGGGACCCGAAAGAUGGUGAACUAUGCCUGAUCAGGGUGAAGCCAGGGGAAACUCUGGUGGAGGCUGCGUAGCGAUACUGACGUGCAAAUCGUUCGUCUGAAUUGGGUAUAGGGGCGAAAGACUAAUCGAACUAUCUGGUUGCUGGUUCCCGC